GACAGAGGUGCCGAGCGUUAGGCGGAAUCACUGGGCUUAAAGCGUGUGUAGGCGGGCCGUUAAGUGCCCCGUGAAAUCCCCCGGCUCAACCGGGGAACGGCGGGGCAUACUGGCGGCCUUGAGACACCUAGGGGCGAGCGGAACAGGCGGUGGAGCGGUGAAAUGCGUUGAGAUCGUGAGGAACGCCCGCGGCGAAAGCGCGUCCCUGGACCCCACCUGACGCUGAGACGCGAAAGCCAGGGGAGCGAACGGG
rnacentral:rRNA from 1 species